rnacentral:rRNA from 1 species
GGCCCUUGGGUUGUAAACUCCUUUUCUGUGGGAAGAGGAAGGACGGUACCACAGGAAUAAGUCACGGCUAACUACGUGCCAGCAGCCGCGGUAAUACGUAGGUGGCAAGCGUUAUCCGGAUUUACUGGGCGUAAAGCGCACGCAGGCGGCUGUCCAAGUCUGACGUGAAAGCUCCUGGCUUAACUGGGAGAGGUCGUUGGAAACUAGAUGGCUUGAGGCGAGGAGAGGGGUGUAGAAUUCCCGGUGUAGUGGUGGAAUGCGUAGAUAUCGGGAGGAAUACCAGUGGCGAAAGCGACACCCUGGCCUUUGCCUGACGCUCAGGUGCGAAAGCGUGGGUAGCGAACGGGAUUAGAUACCCCGGUAGUCCACGCCGUAAACGAUGAAUACUAGGUGUGGGACGUGUCAAAGCGUUCUGUGCCGAAGCCAACGCGAUAAGUAUUCCGCCUGGGGACUACGGCCGCAAGGCUAAAACUCAAAGGAAUUGACGG